GUUGCCCACACAGUCAGCUAUUUCACCCAGAAAAUCUGAAGGCCCUACAAAGCUAACCAGGUGAAGAACUCCUGCAGCUAUUUGCAAUGGAAAAGAGCAUGGAACGUGCAUGACAGUAAGUUGCUGCUAAUGCCCAUUUGACACAAGGAACUUUCAGGAAGAAGCAUGAAGUGACAUGGAAGUGGGACAGAUGAAGAGGCCCCAGGAAUGCUCUCUUCCUACUGUACUGGAGAAGCCCAUUGUGCCCAUGGCCAGGUUCUGUAUUAAUAUUUUCCUGAGCAUUAUUAUAGAGCUUGCGUGAUCUUACUUGCACUGCAAUGUACAAGUGUAGACUCAGGAUACCGUUUCGUUCACAAUGACGUGAUUCUGAUUCUGCCACCCAAGGUGUCUUUGCACCAGGUUUGAAGCCAACUGCUUGCGUAUGGUAUUUGGCUACAAAGAAAACAUGAAUUUGAGGUCUCUUUCUGAUAGGGCAUGCACUGUAUUAAUUAUCAGGAGACUCAUGCCUACAUAGCAAUACAGCUAUGUUUUUAAUGUAGAGUUAUCAAAAUCCAAAUUGAAAUGAUUACCAAAUGUUCAAUCUGCAA